rnacentral:rRNA from 1 species
UACGUAGGGGGCAAGCGUUAAUCGGAAUUACUGGGCGUAAAGCGUGCGCAGGCGGUUAUGCAAGACAGAUGUGAAAUCCCCGGGCUCAACCUGGGAACUGCAUUUGUGACUGCAUGGCUAGAGUACGGUAGAGGGGGAUGGAAUUCCGCGUGUAGCAGUGAAAUGCGUAGAUAUGCGGAGGAACACCGAUGGCGAAGGCAAUCCCCUGGACCUGUACUGACGCUCAUGCACGAAAGCGUGGGGAGCAAACAGG